GAGUUUGAUCCUGGCUCAGGAUUAACGCUGGCGGCAUGCCUAAUACAUGCAAGUCGAACGGAGUAGCAAUACUUAGUGGCGAACGGGUGAGUAACACGUAUCUAAUCUACCAUUUAGUGGGGAAUAACUGUUGGAAACGACAGCUAAUACCGCAUAAUAUUGCUGGAUAAUUUCCAGUAAUGAAAGGAGCUUUCAAGCUCCGCUGAUUGAUGAGGAUGCGGCGCAUUAGCUAGUUGGUAGGGUAAUGGCCUACCAAGGCAAUGAUGCGUAGCCGAUCUGAGAGGAUGAACGGCCACAUUGGGACUGAGACACGGCCCAAACUUCUACGGAAGGCAGCAGUAGGGAAUUUUUCACAAUGGGCGAAAGCCUGAUGGAGCAAUGCCGCGUGACUGAUGAAGGUCUUCGGAUUGUAAAGGUCUGUUGUAGGGAAGAAAUGGUAAAACAGGAAAUGGUUUUAUCUAUGACGGUACCUUACCAGAAAGCCACGGCUAACUAUGUGCCAGCAGCCGCGGUAAUACAUAGGUGGCAAGCGUUAUCCGGAUUUAUUGGGCGUAAAGGGUGCGUAGACGGUUUUGCAAGUCUGAGGUUAAAUUUAGGAGCUCAACUCCUAAUCGCCUUGGAAACUACAAGACUAGAGUAUAGGAGAGGUUAGUGGAAUUCCAUGUGUAGCGGU
rnacentral:rRNA from 1 species